UUCCCGCCUGGAAGGAGGCGGUCUUACGCGAUUAUUAGCUUAGGUUGGGGUAGGGGUUAAGUCGGCCCUAACCGAAGGGCGAUGAUGUCGUAGGGGGGUGUGAGAGCAUCGGCCCCCACGACCGGAACUGAGAUACUGUCCGGACACCUACGGGUGGCUGCAGUCGAGAAUCUUCCGCAAUGGACGAAAGUCUGACGGAGCGACGCCGCGUGCGGGAUGAAGGCCCUUGGGUUGUAAACCGCUGUCAGAGGGGAUGAAAUCUUCGGAGGUACUCCUCCGAAGUUGACAGAGCCUCAAAGGAAGCACGGGCUAAGUACGUG
rnacentral:rRNA from 1 species